rnacentral:rRNA from 1 species
AAUGAACGCUGGCGGCAUGCCUAACACAUGCAAGUCGAACGAAAACUUCGGGUCUAGUGGCGCACGGGUGCGUCACGCGUGGGAACAUGCCCUUAGGUUCGGCAUAACUCCCCGACAGGGGUGCUAAUACCGGAUAAUGUCUUCGAACCAAAGAUUUAUCGCGUUUGGAUGGGCGGGCGUUGCAUUAGCUAGUUGCUAGGGUAAAAGCAUACCAAGGCGACGAUCAAUAGCUGGGCUGAGAGGAUGAUCAGCGACUCUGGGACUGGGAAACGGCCCAGACUCCUACGCGAGGGGGGAGAGGGGGACAUAGGACAAUGGGCGAAGGGAUGAAGCACUAAGGCUGGGAGAGCGAUGAAGGCCGGAGGGUAGUAAAGUUCUUUUACCCGGGAUGAUAAUGACAGUACCGGGAGAAUAAGCUCCGGCUAACUCCGUG